rnacentral:lncRNA from 1 species
GUCUUCCAGGAGCAUCUGGCUAGGAUGAACUUGGAUCUCUGCUCCAGUUUUUAAAGUUGAACUCGGCCCUCGGAGCAGAACAGUGUCCAUGCGGCCUCAGGCAGCCCACCCGGGUGGUAUUUUUCCAUUACCCUGGGAAGCAAAGUUCAGCCACUUGUUGAUAGCAAUGAGACCAUUCAAGGAGAAAACAAUUAGAGAUGCUGAGCCUUGGCCCCACAGAGGAGGGAGGGAGGGAAAAAAAUCCUCCCUGAGGGAAAAGGGCCGAGAGGGAAACAUCCAAGAGGGUAAUUGGUAAAUAUUAUUGUUUGGUUCCCUGUGCCGACUCUGCCCGGGUCUCUCUGUAAGCGGCACAUUUAAAUCACAGUCUGACUUUGGCAGAUUUAAUUGAGUCGCCACUGAAAAAGAAAUUAUCCCUGUGCUAUUAAUUUUUAUAGUUCCUCCGGGCUUUUAAAAAAAGUGUUUGGAUUUUCGAGGUCUUUGAAAAUGAAAACAUUAAAUUUUAUUAAAAGGAAAUGUAAGGGGGCUGGCAGGGACCUGCCAGGCCCUGAAAAGAUGGUUGGCGGGAAGGCGUGUGCCCUCUCAGGUAGUGUGACAAAAGUUUCCCCCAUAGACUAAAAGGCAGGUGGGCCACCAAAGAUCUGUGCCGCCUCCCAGAAGCAUAAGGACCAGCUCCUAGUGGGCGAUGCUUGGUGAAAGUAUCCCAGACCCUGUCCUCGUGUCCCAAGCCCCUGCUGAUACCCACAGGCCACUAAGUAGCUCGCAGAAGAGGACACUCUCAGCAGAGGCUGAACAAGCAUAAGACCCAAAUUUGUAGGGCCUGAAGCUCUCUCGUGUGGCAGCAAACUUCCUUGAAGAAAAAUAAUUCAAAAUUGCAAAUACUAAAUUAUGUCAGAAAGUGAAAUUUUAAUGAGAAAGAGGCAAGUCACAACAAACUGCACAUUUGAAAAGCUGACAAAUUCCUCAGGCACCACAAACUUUGGAAUAAUUGGCACACAUCUGUAAUACUUUUCUUCCCGAGGUUUUUGUCAGCAAGCACUUUGAUCAUCUCUUUAAGCGGCUGUAAUCUUUUCAAUAUUAUUUUUAAACAGAGGAUAUGGAGAUAAUUCAGUCUCUCAUCUAACAAGUUGAUCAGAUUUUGUACUUUAUUAUUCAGGGUUUGAAAAAAAAACACUCUCUUUCAGCCCCACAAUUCUUUAUUGGGAACGCCACGUGAGUUUUCAGGACUGCUAUUAACUUUGCAAAAAAACCCUCUGUCAAGUCUCUUUCAUAUGUGAGCUAUGAGAAUUCAGGGCAUUUUAACUUUUCUUUUAUAGCAACAAAUCUAAAAUGCUCUUUGAAUUUAUGAAACUUCCUAGCCAGAUUGUCAUUGAUGUCCCCGCCUUGGUGGCAGUAUAAUGAGUUUUAUGGUAUCUCUGUCAAUGUCGGUAUUUCCUGUCAAAUCAGCAAGACGUUUAAACACUGGGACUCUGAUAAAUUCUAUGUCAGUAAUUCCCAUCAAAAAAAGAGAAAAAAAAAGAAACAAGAUGAACAGCACAUUGUAAUUAUGUUACUUUGCAUGAUCGAAUAUAUUCUUGACAAG